GAUGAACGCUGGCGGCGUGCCUAAUACAUGCAAGUCGAGCGAACAGACGAGGAGCUUGCUCCUCUGACGUUAGCGGCGGACGGGUGAGUAACACGUGGAUAACCUACCUAUAAGACUGGGAUAACUUCGGGAAACCGGAGCUAAUACCGGAUAAUAUAUUGAACCGCAUGGUUCAAUAGUGAAAGACGGUUUUGCUGUCACUUAUAGAUGGAUCCGCGCCGCAUUAGCUAGUUGGUAAGGUAACGGCUUACCAAGGCAACGAUGCGUAGCCGACCUGAGAGGGUGAUCGGCCACACUGGAACUGAGACACGGUCCAGACUCCUACGGGAGGCAGCAGUAGGGAAUCUUCCGCAAUGGGCGAAAGCCUGACGGAGCAACGCCGCGGGAGUGAUGAAGGUCUUCGGAUCGUAAAACUCUGUUAUUAGGGAAGAACAAAUGUGUAAGUAACUAUGCACGUCUUGACGGUACCUAAUCAGAAAACCACGGCUAACUACGU
rnacentral:rRNA from 1 species